UGUAGCGCCCUACCUUGUGCGGUGGUGAUCAUGUGCAUACAUGAAAUGUGGUCACCACCGCUCUGGUAGGGUAAUGCACU